GGGAGGCAAAUUCACCGUGCAGGACACGUUAGGUUUCUGUAGUGCGGCCGGCUCUCUCUCUGUAGUCCUUCGAGACCACCUCUCCUUCUCCAUCCCCCGCCCACCCCCAUUCUGCCCUGGCCGGGGCCUCACUCUCCACCCUGGACUCCUGCCAGUCUGUCCACCUUCGGCUCUGCCCCUUCGGGAGCAUCUCCACUCGGACUUACAGACGGGCCGAGGAAGGGACCUCGGGAAAGGCCAGAGACAGCGGGGCUCGGCGUGGGCUGCACCCCCACACCUGCCGCAGGGAACCCACACAAACAACAGGCGCAUGAGAAGUCACAGAACCAACAAUCAAGCUUCAAGCAGGGUCCCCGCCCUGGCACCCCAUAUCAGCCGCAUCUGUUAGUUGGUGUUGGGAAUUCAGCUGGAGGCCACGGCGCUGCAGGUCGGCAGAGAACCUGGCUCCUUCCCGGGGCCGCAGUGCGCUCCCUGCCUGUGGAGGAGCCCAGUGCCCGGCCUGUCCAUUCAUCUCAGCAAAGGGAGAGAGAAUCUGCAGGCUAUGUGUGGCCUAAUAGUUCCCUCGGGCCUUGGGGCAAUUGCAAAGGGCCAGGCUGUGUGACCUUGGCCAGCCCUUUGCCCUCUCUGAUGAGUAAGCCUGCAGCCGAUUGCUCUGUGGUUGCGUGGUGCCUCCAAAGAACACUGACCCAGGGGUGGCCGCAGGGAGGUCCCUCCUCGGCCCCCACUGACGAGUGGCGGACUCUAAGCAGCCCGUCGGCAUCUGUGUCUCGCCACGCAGGGCUGCUGUGUUCCGCCCCUUUAGUUCCUGUUCCUCGUGGUUCCGUUUCUCAGAAGAGGGGCGCUACUGACUCUCCUCUGGGGGUGGGGUGGGGGGAGCAGUCUUCAGAGAUGCGGAGUGGGAGGGCUCUGAUCGGUGAGGGCCGGCAGGGAGACCUCUCUGCAGACUUGAUUCAGUGGCCUGAGCCUGGCUCAUUUCCCCGGACCUCCCCAGCAGGGGGCAGGGCAGGGGCAGCUUGGGGUGUGCAGAAGGGGCGGGGUGAGGCCUGUCCCCCAGGCAGCUGGGAGGCCCCGGCCCUCACUCACAAUUGGAGGAAGGCCUUCAGGAAGCGCUCGCAGCUGCUCGGACAUCUCAGAGCCAAGUCUCAGGCAGGACCACAGCGGCAGCACCCAGGGAGGAGCGGCAUGGCCCGGAGGCCGCAGCCCCAGGUGCAGCCACAGCUGGCCCUCGCGGAGCCCAGGGCACCACCGUUGGCCUUGGGCUGUCCAGGCUGUCCAGGCUCGCCCUGAGCAGCAUCUCCGGCCCUCCAUGUCCAGGGAGUCUCUGCUCGCAUCUUCCAGGACUGCGCUUCUAGAAGCUGCCGGUAGAACUGACCACAGCUCAU
ensembl:lncRNA